UACGUAGGGUGCGAGCGUUAAUCGGAAUUACUGGGCGUAAAGCGUGCGCAGGCGGUUUUGUAAGCCAGAUGUGAAAGCCCCGGGCUUAACCUGGGAACUGCAGUCGAGACUGUCUAGCUAGAGUAUGGGAGAGGGAAGUGGAAUUCCCUGUGUAGCGGUGAAAUGCGUAGAGAUGGGGGAGAACACUCGUGGCGAAGGCGGCCAGCUAGACCAGUUCUGACACUGAGGCGCGACAGCGUGGGGAGCAAACAGG
rnacentral:rRNA from 1 species